UUUGAAGUAACAAGUCAGAAAACAAAGGCCAAGUCCUGAAGAGAAAAACGCAAAUGAGUGCAGAAAGCGAAGAAUAUCUAACUAACAAUCUCUAGAUAACUGUAAUGGAAGGAAACAAAACAACUUCACUAUCAUUGCUCAGCUGUUAUGACUAAGGGAUGCGAUGAGCUAGAUGAAUUGGCUGGGCUGGAUAAGUUGACUUGGGCAGAAUUCUGUUAUUUUGUAGGGGUUAGUAUAAAUAGGGGAAGAAUAGUUGUAAUUGGGCAUUCCUAGAAUCACUAACAAAUGCAGAAUUCUUCUUUCUCUCUUCUUCUCUAAUUCUAAUCUCAUCCCUUUCUAUUUCUCUUCUCACCCAAUCUAAUUCUCUUCUCACCUAGUCCCUUUCUAUCUCUUUCUCUCCCUAUUC
rnacentral:misc_RNA from 1 species